CCUACGGGAGGCAGCAGUAAGGAAUAUUGGACAAUGGUGGCAACACUGAUCCAGCCAUGCCGCGUGCAGGAUGACGGCUCUAUGAAUUGUAAACUGCUUUUAUACGGGAAAAACCCUCAAGACGUGAUUUUGAGCUGAUUGUACCGUAAGAAUAAGGAUCGGCUAACUUCGUGCCAGCAGCCGCGGUAAGACGAAGGAUCCAAGCGUUAUCCGGAUUUAUUGGGUUUAAAGGGUGCGUAGGCGGACUCAUAAGUCAGUGGUGAAAUCCCAAAGCUUAACUUUGGAACUGCCAUUGAUACUGUAAGUCUUGAGUAUGUUUGAAGUGGGCGGAAUGUAUUGUGUAGCGGUGAAAUGCUUAGAUAUAAUACAGAACACCAAUUGCGAAGGCAGCUCACUAAACCAUAACUGACGCUGAGGCACGAAAGCAGUAGGAGACAACAGAUAGUAUACCUACGUAGUACACUACGACCUAACGAAUAGUAAUACUACGUAUAUGUGCGA
rnacentral:rRNA from 1 species